rnacentral:lncRNA from 1 species
ACGGCCCCUGGAUAAGAAUACGCAUUUGCGUCAUCAUAUAUAUUAAGCUAAUAGUUGGAACUUGGAUGUCAAACUACAUACCUCAUGUGUUCUGACUCCGGAUUCAUUGCCAUUUAAUCCGGAAUUCGUGUGAACAAGGUGAUGUAUAAUGUGCAUAAAACAAGACGUGUAUACAGGAUAGCUGGUAAACACAAUGAAUACAAUUUUCAAAAUCGUAC